UACGUAGGGUGCAAGCGUUGUCCGGAUUUAUUGGGCGUAAAGAGCGUGUAGGCGGCCAGAUAAGUCCGCUGUGAAAUCUCGAGGCUCAACUUCGAGCUGUCGGUGGAAACUGUCUGGCUAGAGUCCGGAAGAGGAGAAUGGAAUUCCUGGUGUAGCGGUGAAAUGCGCAGAUAUCAGGAAGAACACCCGUGGCGAAGGCGGUUCUCUGGGACGGUACUGACGCUGAGACGCGAAAGCGUGGGGAGCGAACAGG
rnacentral:rRNA from 1 species